UCGCCCCUUCCCUGUACUCCAUGGAACAUCAUGACUUUGCAAUGUCCCCACAGGCUCAGGAGAGCCCUUCUGAGACUCUUAGACUAUCACCUUUCUGUGUUGUUUCCAAAGUCAACAUUCUUACUAAAGCCCCAGUAGACGGUGCCCCUGGCUGAGCCUGUUUCUGUGCCGCGUUUCAUUGUCAGAGAAGGAGCUAGAAGGGAUCCGACAGGAUUUUUUCCCACGUUACAAUCAUGACUGUCUGCCUGCAUUUGCAAAGGAACCCUUAUUUGGAGCAUUUAUUUUAAUAUUUAAUCAAAUAUCAAACUUUCAUUGACUGGUCUGUAAUCACCUCUAAGGCCCCGGGAAACUCCCCCGUCUCCAGGUCAAAUAUAAUAGCUGGUGGCUCUUCAGUAGCACUUGCCUUGCAACGCGCAACUUUCCCGACCGCCUUUGGUGUUCUCAUAAAUCCGGCCAGAAAGAAACGCCUGCUGUACUCUGGAUUUAUGACUAGUAGCCCCGAAGAAAGUCACAAAUUCAUAAACACACAUUCCAAAGUGGGAUUUUAACACUGAUCUUCUGUUGUCAACUUGAAGGAAAAAAAAAAAAAAAAGAUUUAAAGUUGAGUUUAUUACAGCUCGAGAGGAGCUGGAAAAGGACUCAAGACAAAUAUUUUUGGGCUGAGAACAUGUGUGAGGUCACUGUGCCCUCACAGUCUUCUCCCGGCAAUGCCGCUGGUAAUAGGAGACGGAGAUCUGCAGUCUAUUCCUGGGAGUUCCUCUGACUCAUCCCGUUAUCCGAGGACGAUGCUUCUUAUGUCUGCCUUACUCUCCCAUCUGCAAAAUGUGGAUACACGUUCAUGCUCUUAACCUUCAGGCCUCCUUGAAUCUGGGGUUUUCUGCCGGGAUCUGUCCUUCAGCAACUUCCGGGAAGUCACAUUUGCAAGAGUGGCCGUGGGCCAGCCAGGCCAGGCAUGGAGGGAAGUGGAGGGGACAGGGUCUUGGCAGCUGAACCUGGGGUCGUUGCAGAGGUGAGGAGGCGUUCAUCAGGCUAUGCCCAGAAGGCCAAGUUUUGGGUCGUGGGCAUACGCCAAGUCAUUAGCUGCAUGAUUUUUGUAAUGGCUUAGAGAUGCUGAGGACAUAUACAGUUUAAAGUUUUUAUAGGGUAAUAGCUUCCUUUCACUUAAAGAGACUUGGGCGGACUGGAAAGGGUUUGGCGGUGGGCAUCCCCGGCGACAGAAAUCCAGGGACGCACGCUCAAAAGUUCAAGAUCGGCCAAGCGGCGUGUGGAGAUUUCUUCAAAGUCCUAGCUGUUUACCAGACGUCUCUUCUGCACUUGUAGUAGCUGUGGUUUUGUUCCAUACUUUCCGUGAGGAUGCUGGACAUCUACUGAGAAGAGAUGUGAGAGGGCUCUCUGGAAACAUCACAUCUAUUGGAAGGGUGGGGACGAGCAAAUGGAGGUUUGUCUGUGGCCCAUGAUUGAAGAUCAUUGGCAGUGACUGGCCUCCAUGACAGGCAGCAAGGUUACAAGCAGAACAUCAAAUGACACCCAUAAGGACACUAGAAUGUCCCGUAGCUUCGAUGUGUGUGACCAGACCACACAGCAAUAUCCACUCUGUGAAAUGGAAGCUUUUAGAAUGCUUGCAAAAGAAAAAAAAAAGUUCACGAGUUUAAAGAUGGCUCUUUAUCUUUCUAUUUAAUCCAUUUAACUAAGAAACGAGAGAGAUCAAACCACCAUCGGUUCUGUUUCUUGUAUUUCAGGAAGGAGUUGACUGAACGCAAGUCCAGGACUGACUCCUUAUUAAAGGGAUAAGGAGAGAGAACUCAUCUCCAGGGUCCGAGUACCUGCUCGGAGAAAAUGAUAUAUCGUAAUUAAGCACUAAUGUAUGAAGCCCCUAGACUUUUAAAAUGAUUUUGGCCAAUUAAUUCUGAUUAGCAUGUGGAAACCAUAAGGGCAGGAAUCGUUAUCUCGCGCAACCAGUCUGGAGAGGCUGCCCCAGGACACAGGGUCACCUUGUACAUCCGCCCAGACCCUCCGGAUCCACAGGGCUUGAGAAUGCAUGAAGACAUUGGUUCAGGUACUAUCUUGCACCGGGGGAACGUGAUGGUAGGACUGAGCCAUGCAUGGUAACAGAGGUCCCUAGGAAGUUUUGUUCUUCCUUCUCUCUUCUGGAAGCCUUAUAUGGGAAGUUUAAUAACAAUGCUGGUAUUCACCACAAGCUUACUGUGCGCCGAGUAACAGGAAAAGUUGCUUUUCCAGCACAGUGGCCCCAUGAUACUGGGAGCAUUUAUACCCGCAUGGUGUAUUGCCGUACCAGGCUCAGACAAGGCCAUCAACAAAUGCUGUCAGCUCGAACUCGGGGACCAUCCGAAGCCAUUCGCUUUCCUCCAUUCCCACUGCUGCCUCCCGUGCAAGCCACUAUGGGCCCUUGGAUAGAGUGGAGUCCUCACUUCCCCCCUGGCAGUCAGCACCUCAGCACCUAGCGUGGCCUUUCACGAAUGCUGAUCAGAUGACGCCCCUCUGCUCAGCCUGCUCCGUGCCUCCUGCCUCACCUGAGACAAAAUCCACACUUCCUGCCCCGGCUCACGAGGUUCACUACCGCUGCUUUGUCUCUGCUCCAGCCACGCUGGCCUUCUGCAAAUCGUCAAGGUCAUCUCGUCUCGGGGUCCCUCAGCUCCUUCUUCUUCCCCGCAUCCUCCUUUCCUGGGGUGGGCUCCACAAUCCGCAGACGAUCCCUCCCACUGCCCUGUUCUGAUCACCCCUCAUUACUCUGGGAUAUUUUUAAACCCAUGGAUAUGACCUAUUUCUAAGCUCUAGGAGAGUCUGCUUCAUUUCAUUGCCUUCUCCGCUCCCAGUGCCCAGAGAGGUGCCUGGCAUAGAACAGGCUCUUGAUAAAUGUUGAGUUAACUAGUGAAUGGGUGGAAAGAUGCUACUUACGCACUACUUUUGGAUGCCAGGCCUCUGUUUGUAGGGUUCCGGCAGGCUGCAAUCCGUUAAUCUGUUCAGUCUGUUUUUUAGAGAUAAUUUCUAAACUCCUGUCCUUCAUGGCCGACGCAGAAGGCCUUUCUCAGACUGAUGUGAUGUCUCCCUUCUUUGGGCCCCGUAGCGCCUCAUGCUUCUUGGAGACACCUAGUCCUUGCUGAGUAUGUCCUGGGCCUUUAAGUCUCUAAUUAAGUCCAACAGAAUUUCAGGGUCUUGACGACGUGUUUCCCCACCUGUUUCUUCCACAGCAGCCAGUAUGGCAUCACACACAGGCUGGGGGCUCUACGAACAUUUGCUCGAUUGAGACCAUUCUUGCUGUCAUUGCCUUGCGUAGCGUGUUGGGGCUGAUAAAAAUAUUUCAUGAAACAUGCUCUGAUCGGGCUCCUGUUUUCAAGAAAAACAUCCCAACCUCGCCAUCAGUUAGAACCUUACAGGUUCUGAACUGGAGUGAGGUGGGACGUGGGGAGGGAGGGGGUCAGGAAUACGCCAGGGGUUUGACCUGAGCACGUUGGGAGUGUGGGGAGCGAUUCUGUAUAAAUCGGGGCUACUCUUUCUUCCCAACUCAAAAACUCAUUAGAAUAUCUAUGGAGACAGUCCUCCAGCCUCUGUUUUUCUUAAUUUGACAAACCCACGUUGGCCCUGUUUAUCUCUCGAUGUAUCUCCAAAGACUGUCAUAUUUCUGGUUUCCUGAUGAAUUGGGCUACUCGUGGCUGGGCAGCCGGGGCUGGUGACAUCACUGCAGGGUGUCUGCAUUCGGUCUAAAUGACAAGGCCUGACACUUUGCUCAGCGUCUCCCUCUUGCUUGCAGGGAUGAGGAAGGGAACAUCUGUAGGUGGGUGGUAACCGGGAAGGCAAACUUACAGGGAAAAGGGUAUGGUGGGGUGAGUGGAACAGACAGCUGGGCAGUUGGGGCAGGGAGAAGAGAGGCUCUCGCAUUGUCCAGUGUUCCUUGAAAUCUCCUCGUGCAACAUGACAUCAUGGACCACACCCUGCCCGAAACAGCCUUUACAUGGCCAUCUGGCACUUGACUUUCCUAGGACUUGAACUUUGCUGCCGAAAGUCUGUCUCACCUCGUGAGUUGUCUUUUACCUCCCUUGUCUCACACUGCCCCCAGGGCAGCGGAUCCUACGUGCGUACAUUCUUGGAAGAGUGCAGCGCAGAUUAGACACAGUUUUUUAUUCCCCCCUCUCUUAAUUUCCUUUCUAUUACUCCAUUGUCAAGUUUCCAAUACUAUAAUUUUAUCUCUUACCAAGA